rnacentral:lncRNA from 1 species
ACAACUCCUCACGCAAAACCAGAGGACUUGACGUUCCACUCCCCUACUCUGGAGGCCUCGGCCGGCCUUCGGAAAGCUGCCAGCUCGCAGCGAGACAGCGUGCGCUGUGCCAAGCGCGCACGACGGCGGCCCGGAGCCGGCCUCGGCUGACCCAGGAAACCACGCGCCCGGACCCUCCGAGUCCCCAGACAACUUCCUCCCUUCUUCCCGGGCCUGAGGCGCCACGACCGCUUCCGCACAGUGCACGUCACCUGUACAAAGGUGUGUCUUUCGCUGCAGGAACUGUACUUGUGCCUGGUGGUCCUUCCGAGCCGUCUCAGCUUUCACAUCCUCCAGUUCCUUCUCUAACAUCUGGAUUUUCAUCUGCUGGCUCUUCUGUGUGGAGGAAAUGUGCUCCAUUGACUGAAAUUGCUGCUCCAACUGGAACUGCUUGAUCUUUCCCUGAAAGAGCUGUGUUUGAAGUUCCUCAGUUUGCUUGGCGAACCUGAGUGUCAGUUCUUGUUUCCUUUGCAUAAUCUCCCCCCAUUGCUGAACACGCUGGCUCCACAGUUGCCAGUGUUUCUGUUUACACUGCUCACUUUGCUUCCUUAGGACUCGCAAAAGGCAGUUCUUCUCGGCUCCCACACAGAGAGUGUCACGCUGCAGCAGCCUGCUGUCUUGCAGCAGGCGCUCCUGCUUGAGCCUGGCCCCUUCUAUUUUUCUGUUCAGGCUCUCCAGUGCCUCGAUUGUCUUGUUUUUUACCUUGUUCUCUAAUUCUGUUAGCCUCUCUGACUUGAAAAGUUCAUUUAGAAUAGUAAGAUACGUUGAUGGCUGAGGAGAACCUUUUGAACUCUGGGCAAACCUGGAGGAAGAACAAAGGAAAUAUUCUUUUAUCAGUUCUUUAGGCACAAGUGAGAAAAUAAUAUUUGGAAACUAAAGCUUCGGGUUCCAUCAUGUGCCAGAAAGGGUCAGUGCUGGUUAGAUUUUUGACAAGUUGGUACAUUCAGGAACUAUUUGGGAGGAGGAACUGCAUUGAGAAAAGUGACUCCAUCAGAUUAUCUGUAGAACUCUGUCUCUCUCUUUCUCUUUUUUAAAGAUGUAUUUAUUAUUAUAUCUUAAGUACACUGUAGCUGUCUUCAGACACACCAGAAGAGGGCAUCAGAUCUCAUUAUAGUUGGUUGUGAGGUACCAUAUGGUUGCUGGGAUUUAAACUCAGGACCUUUGGAACAGCAGUCAGUGCUCUUAACUGCUGAGCCAUCUCUCCAGCCCCUCUGUCUCUCUUUGAAUUAAAGAUUGAUUGAUGUGGGUGGGCCCAGCCCUUGAGGGUAAGGUGACACCCCUAGGCAGGUGGUCCUUAACUGAAUAGGAAAGCAGUCCAAGCAACUGAGCAAUUUAUCUCCACGGCUUCUGCUUCAGUUCCUGUCUCCAGGUUCCUGUCUUGAGCUCCUGGCCCUGGGAACUGUGAUACAGAAGAAAAGAUGAAAUAAACCCUUCCCAGUG